AGAGGGAAACAUUGAAGAUCAAUUGUACGUCGGGGAUAACAGGUCGAUGACUCCCAAGAGCUCUUAUUGAUGGAGUGGUUUGGCACCUUGAUGUCGACUUAUCACAUCCUGGGGUUGAAGAAGGUCCCAAGGGUUUGAUUGUUCGCCGAUGAAAGUGGUACGUGAGUUGGGUUUAGAACAUCAUGAGACAGUUCGAUUCCUAUCU
rnacentral:ncRNA from 1 species